rnacentral:rRNA from 1 species
AGUGAACGCUGGCGGUAGGCCUAACACAUGCAAGUCGAACGGCAGCACAGUAAGAGCUUGCUCUUACGGGUGGCGAGUGGCGGACGGGUGAGGAAUACAUCGGAAUCUACUUUUUCGUGGGGGAUAACGUAGGGAAACUUACGCUAAUACCGCAUACGACCUACGGGUGAAAGCAGGGGAUCUUCGGACCUUGCGCGAUUGAAUGAGCCGAUGUCGGAUUAGCUAGUUGGCGGGGUAAAGGCCCACCAAGGCGACGAUCCGUAGCUGGUCUGAGAGGAUGAUCAGCCACACUGGAACUGAGACACGGUCCAGACUCCUACGGGAGGCAGCAUUGGGGAAUAUUGGACAAUGGGCGCAAGCCUGAUCCAGCCAGACCGCGUGGGUGAAGAAGGCCUUCGGGUUGUAAAGCCCUUUUGUUGGGAAAGAAAAGCAGCAGGUUAAUACCCCGCUGUUCUGACGGUACCCAAAGAAUAAGCACCGACUAACUUCGUG